CUCUGACUUCCUCGGAAGGAACGGGAGAGGGACGCCGCUCCCCAAAACUGGAAAGCAAAGACUGACGACGCUGGCGAUGCUGAGGAUCGAACCCGGGACCUUUCACAUCACUGAGUUACAUCCCUCUGUGGCCAGCUAGAUCCAGGGAAAAAACUGACAGCAAACAGCAGUAACCCAGAGAGAAAUCCCCCUUUGAAUUCAGCAAAGCCCUGUGUUGACGUCAUGGCUGGAUUGCAGGGACUUUCCCAAAGCAAAUUCUGAAAUGAGCGCCCCGCUGGGGCGCACUCCGACGGGGGGGACUGCGUAUCGCCUUUGCGGCCACGGU